ensembl:lncRNA
CUUCAUCCUUUUACUUUUUCAGUUAUACAUUUUGUUUUAUUUUUAAAAACAUUAGGGCCCGCCUGGAUAUCCAGGAAGAAAUGGCUUUCCAGGAUAUAAGGUACACAUUUUAAUCAUUUAUAAUUUACUAUUAAUAAGGAUUUAUUUAUUUUAAAAUGAUAGGUUUGUUGAAUUAUACUGUUGGUCACUUCUGAUGUUAUGUUUUUACAUAUACAGGGGGCACUAGGGGAAAAUGGUCUCCCUGGUCUAUUUGGCAACCCAGGGCCAAAGGUCAGGCACACAUUCUGAUUAGACAUUGUAUAAAAAAAAAAAAGAUUUUGUAAGAGUCAUCUACUUGCAGUAUAUUGUCAUUUGUUUGCUGACACUGCUGCUGUGAAUGUGUAACAGGGCUACCCAGGAGACCCCGGACCUAAAGGAAACCCAAAAUACCAUUACAACAAUAUGAUGGGAGUACCUGGAGACCGCGGGAUUCCUGGUGCAGCUGGACCUCCUGGUGAUAGAGGGCCGACGGGUAUACCUGGAGUCCCUGGUUAUCCAGGAGCAUCUAUAAAAGGUCCAGUGGGUGAAUCUGGUUUGCAGGGUUUUAAUGGACCUAAAGGAGAAAAAGGUGACCCAGGAAAAAUAUACGGGGCAUACUUAAACUAUGGGGAACCUGGAAAACGUGGCCCUCCUGGACCCAAAGGACAAAAAGGAAUUCCUGGUAAUCCUGGUGAGUGGAUGUGGAUUUUUCCCCCUCAGAUUGUUACAUUUCCUAUUGUCUGUCUUAACCAGUCCUGACAAAUUGAUGUGAUUGAUUCACAUCAAAGUAUCUGUAUAUAUUUGUAUAAAAUGCAUGUUAGAGAGAGGCAAGAAAUGAAAACCAUUAGUCUGUAUAAUUAGACAUUUGAGAGCAUGUAAGUUUUUACUUAGUUCCAAUAAUUCUUUUGUUUACUUUUCAUAAUUGCCUUUUGUCAUUGAGAUGUCUUUUGUCAUUUUAUGUCUUUUCAUUUCAUUCGUUAUUAAUAUUAAUAAAACAUUUUGCAUGUUUAGUUUAGACA